GACGGAGGGUGCGAGCGUUAUUCGGAAUCAUUGGGCGUAAAGAGCGUGUAGGCGGCCGGUUAAGUCAGGUGUGAAAGCCCGGGGCUCAACCUCGGAAGUGCACUUGAAACUGGUCGGCUUGAGUUCGGGAGAGGGAAGCGGAAUUCCUGGUGUAGAGGUGAAAUUCGUAGAUAUCAGGAGGAACACCGGUGGCGAAGGCGGCUUCCUGCACCGAAACUGACGCUGAGACGCGAAAGCGUGGGGAGCAAUCAGG
rnacentral:rRNA from 1 species